GGUUGGUAAUAGGCGCAGUUUUCGACCUUGUAAAUAGAUAUUUUCUUUUCCGGAUAUCUGCUUUGCACGAAAAGCAAAGCCAUUUUGUGUUAGAGAAACAAGCAAGACUGGUUCUUUGUAGCGUUUUCUUGUAAUUUCUUGCUAAACUGCAGCCUUUUUGUUGGCAUCCCAGAGGGCCCCCUUGGUCAAGGGUCUGAAAUCUUGGAGGGGAGAGAGAGUUUGCAUUGAUGGGCCUGCUAUUUUUGAUCAAGCUGGAUUUGGGGUGUGAUUUGGAAGUUGAAUUUUUUUUUACUCUCUUUCCUUACUAAUAUUUGCGUGAAAUAAGUUUCAUGGAGCUUCGUGGAAACCACGGCAUUAGUCUUAUCUUAGUUCAUCCUCUUUUGAGUUGUGAAGCUGAUAUGGUUGAUGGUUGGGUUCUUAUACUUGUUCAUGAACACAUAUGUUGUCUUGUUUGAUUCUUGUUCUCAAGAAAGAGUCGGAGCUUCUUUUUUCUUAUCAACUGGGUCUUGAACUGGGGAAAUUGGAUCAGUCUGGACACAGCCAGAUCGGAAACUAUUAUAAUUUUGUGCUCAGAGCUACGAUCAUUUCUACAACUAAUCAAGUGUGCUGUGGUCAAAAUUGGUAUGUGUUCUGCGAUGUCUGAAACUGAAGUUACAGCUCUAAAAGAUACUCUUCAAGCUCAACAAAAACUUUUGCAAAAACUGUACAUUGAGUUAGAUCAGGAAAGAGAAGCUUCGUCAACAGCAGCUAGUGAAGCUCUGUCCAUGAUACUGCGUUUGCAAGAAGAGAAGGCUGCUGUACAGAUGGAAGCAAGUCAAUAUAAGAGACUGGCAGAGGAAAAGAUGUCUUAUGCUGAGAACUCUCUUUCAGUUUUUGAAGAUCUUAUGCAUAAUAAAGAGAUGGAAAUUGCAUCUCUUGAGUUUCAAGUUCAGGCUUAUAGGUGGAAACUUCUUAGCAUGGGUUGUGGUGAUUUGGGUGCCUAUGAAAGUAGGUUUCCAGAGAAUUUGUUUUUGCAAAUGAAUGACUCUUGCAAGGUGGAAACAGGUGUUGAUAGCAUUGUAAGAAGAUGGAAUUCUCUGCCUUCAAUUCAGCCCAAAGAUUCCCACAAGAAGGAAAAUAAUUUGGAAAGAGAAAGAUCUGGGAUCCCCAUGUCAGAUUUGGUUCCAAAGAUAGUGAAGCAAAAUGCAGACCAGGAAAUUAAUGUUCAAAACUUGGAUUUAGAGAAGAGAGCUGGACAUUUCACUAGUGGAACCUUUGACUUGUACUUGGAGCAGAUCAGAACGUUAGAUGAACAAGUAAAAGAGAUAUCUGAUUGCAAAGUUUCUGGAAAACCUAAUUCUGCAAGUUUGAAGAGUGAGAAUCCACAAGAAAGCAUUGGCAAAAUAUGUGACCAAACAUGUGGAGAAAGUGUUACUAAUCAGGAUCAAGUCAAACUUCAUGAACAUGUACUGGAAAGGGAGACAAUUGUUAGUUCUUCUUGUUCCUCAAAUGUCCAGGAUAUUUUUGAAGUCCCACAAAAUAAUGGAAAUUGCAAAGCACUUGAAAAACCGAAAAAAGAACAGAGUAAGCCGAUCUUGGAAGGCGAGAACAGGCUAGGAAAGCCAGAUUUGGUUGCCGGGGAUACUUUUCAAUUGAAUAUGAAAGAGGCAAAGAAAAUUGUGCUCUGUGCAAACAAUGAUAACAAAUUAUGUAAAGCAAGAAAUGAAGUAGGUGUUGCCUGCAAUAUGGCUUUUAUUGACCCAAGAACGGGUGUUUCUGAAUCUCAAGCCAAUUUUCAACAGUUGUCUCAGCGAAUUGAACAGCUUGAGAGAGAGAGAAUUUGUUUCAGGCAAGAAAUUAGUGAGGCAGGGGACAAGGAAUUGAAGUUCCUAAAGGAGAUACGUGAGCAGCUUAAUAUGAUACAGACCGAGUUGAAAAGUUGGAGAACUACACCAAUCAAAACAAGAAGUUCGAGAUCUAAGAAAUCCCCUCCACAAGAUCAGCAAUCUCUGCAUUCUAUUACUGAGGCAAUGCUAUACUUUUGGAUUUAAGAAAUUUGGCAGCAUUUCAGAUGAGAACCAUUAACUUCUGCGCUUUAGUGAGGAUAUGCGACACGAAGGACUGAUGCAGACUUACAGUCCAUUGUACCAACGUUUCAAAGACUUUGAUCAAUCAUUUGACAAGAUGUGAACGAUAUAGGAACCAAAAUUACGUAUGGAACAGAAACGCCUAUUAGGCAGCUUAGACAGAAGACACGCCCACAAGUACAGGACUGAAUCUAACUGAGAACCACUCGCGCCUUUUGAGUAAAAUGGAGAGGCAUGACUUAACCAUGCUGGUAAAAGAGACUUCGCCCAACACAGCCUGUGGGCAAAGGACGGAAGCAUUAAGAAGAGGGAUUAUAAAGCUUACAAUCGAAAACAGUUUUUUAUGACACAUUGUUUAAAUAGUGGAUUAAAGCCAGUGAGCUUGAGCACAUGAGCUCAGUUUAUAGUUUCAUUUAAGUUCCAAAUAAAGAGCAGUGAUAUUCUUUAACAGAUGCAGCCUAGUUUCUCAUCCAUAACUUUUCCAGAGAUUGAGCUCUCCGGAUAAAGGAAUCA